CCUACGGGAGGCAGCAGUGAGGAAUAUUGGUCAAUGGGCGGGAGCCUGAACCAGCCAAGUCGCGUGAGGGAAGACGGUCCUAUGGAUUGUAAACCUCUUUAGGCGGGGAGCAAUGCCGGGCAUGCGUGCCCGGCGGGAGAGUACCCGCAGAAUAAGCAUCGGCUAACUCCGUGCCAGCAGCCGCGGUAAUACGGAGGAUGCGAGCGUUAUCCGGAUUUUUUGGGUUUAAAGGGUGCGUAGGCGGAUUGUUAAGUCAGCGGUAAAAUGUCCGGGCUCAACCCGGGCCGGAAGUUGAAACUGGGGAUCUUGAGUGGGCGAGAGGUAGGCGGAAUGCGUGGUGGAGCGGUGAAAUGCAUAGAUAUCACGAAGAACUCCGAUUGCGAAGGCAGCAUACCGGCGCCCGACUGACGCUGAGGCACGAAAGCGUGGGGAUCGAACAGGAUUAGAUACCCGGGUAGUC
rnacentral:rRNA from 1 species